rnacentral:lncRNA from 1 species
AUAGAAUUUUGUCCCGAUCAUUUUUCGAGGAAGCAAUAGAAGGAAGAAUGACAAACCGAGUUGGAGAGUCGAGUGAGGUUCCAUCGAGGUUCCGAUCCGCGACUCUGUUAUUACAUCAGAAAUGAAAAUUAGAAGUUAAAACACAAAUGAAAUUACAAAAUCCUAUCUACGCAGCUUCUGUUGGACUCUUGACUUGAGUUUCAUCACCCUAUUCUUCAGGCGGGCUCCUGACUUUCAAUUUCUUUAACUUGUUGCUUGCCUUUCAAUUUCUACACCCUGGUCUCCAGGCGAGCUCCUGAAUUGCUAUUUCAUAAACUUGUUGCUAUGCUUUCAAUUUCUUUACCCUGUUCUGCAGGCGGGGUUCCUGGAAUCACAUCAAAACUGGAAAAAAAAUUAUCCCAAACAAAAAUUAUUAUAAAGAGAAAUUUCGCUUGCCAGAAAAGUAAAGCUCCAAAAAAUAGAAUUAAAUUUUUCCCCAGUUUAUCAUCAAAGGGAUUUUGUGAAAGUCACAUCAUUAUAGAAAUCAAAGGGAAUGACUCAACUAAAAGGUACGUCUUAUAGGAAUCGAAGGGAGUGACUCAACUAAAAGGUACGUCUUCUAGGAAUCAAAGGGGAAUGACUCGACUAAAAGGUACGUCUUCUAGGGGUCAAGGGAAUGACUCAACUAAAAGGUACGUCUUAUAGAAAUCAAAGGGGAAUGACUCGACUAAAGGGUACGUCUUCUAGGAGUCAAGGGAAUGACUCGACUAAAAGGUUAGUCUAAUAGGAAUCAAGGGUGAUGACUCGACUAAAAGGUAUGUCUUAUAGGAAUCAAGGGAGAUGACUCGACUAAAAGGUACGUAUUAUAAGAAUCAAAGGAGCGACUCGACCAAAAGGCACGUUUUAUAGGGGUAAAAGGGAAUGACUCGACUAAAAGAUACGUCUUAUAGGAAUCAAAGGGGAUGACUCGACUAAAAGGUACGUCUUAUAGGAAUCAAAGGGAAUGACUCGACUAAAAGGUACGUCUUAUAGGGGUCAAAGGGAAUGACUCGACUAAAAGAUACGUCUUAUAGGAAUCGAAGGGGAUGACUCAACUAAAAGGUACAUCUUAUAGGAAUCAAAGGGAGUGACUCGACUAAAAGGUAUGUCUUCUAGGAAUCAAGGGAAUGACUCAACUAAAUGAUACGUCUUAUAGGAAUCAAAGGAAAUGACUCGACUAAAAGGUAUGUCUUAUAGGAAUCAAGGGAUAUGACUCGACUAAAAGGUACGUCUUAUAGGAAUCAAAGGGGAAUGACUAGACUAAAAGGUACGUCUUAUAGGAAUCAAAGAGAGCGACUCGACUAAAAGGUACGUCUUCUAGGAAUCAGGGGAAUAACUCGACUAAAAGGUAGGUCUUCUAGGGUCAAGGGGAAUGACCCGACUAAAAGGUAGUCUUCUAGGAAUCAGGGAAAUGACUUGACUAAAACGUACAUCUUAUAGGAAUUAAAAGGAAUGACUCAACUAAAAGGUACAUAUUCUAGGAAUUAAAGGGAAUGACUCGACUAAAAGGUACGUCUUAUAGGAAUCAAUAGGAAUGACUCGACUAAAAGGUACAUCUUAUAGGAUCGAAGGGGAUGACUCGACUAAAAGGUACGUCUUCUAGGAGUCAAGGUGAAUGACUCGACUAAAAGGUACAUUUUCUAGGAAUCAAGACUUGAGUUAGGAAGUGCAUUACCUAAGAAGAAAAAUUCGAAUUAUCCAAUCAAGGAAGUGUGUUUCCUUACCAAUGUUGUUUGAAUUAUCAAAACAAUGAAGUGAGUCUCCUUACCAAAGCUUCUUGAAUUACCAAAACAAGGAAGUGCGUCUUCUAGAGAUCUUGAAUUAUGAGUUUUACCAUGGUUUUGAUUACCAAACCUGUGCAGCAACCUUGCCUCAUGCAUUUGUUGAGGUGAGAAAUUACGGCCUUUGAUGUUUAUGCUCUGAAAUCCUUGAUCUGAAUUCAACAUGUAUUCCUAUUUCAUGCAAAGAAAGGUUGUGAGUUUAAAUAUAUGGUGGCUGGUUUGUGGCUUUGGCUUUCGUGGAAAAUGCUCUUGCCAUCAUCACAUUUAACCUUGCUUCCAACCAUUAGCCUGUGUCAUUGAAUUUCUGCUUCAUUAACCAAACUCAGAUUAUUAAGAAUGACUGAGAUAAACACAGCAUCUCUGCUUUUCCAUGCUUCUCAGAUAGACCCCUUGGAACCUUGGUAUUUCAUGAGUUCCCGGAUUUCUCUGUUGACAAAAUUUCUACAUAUCCUUUUUAGCUCACAAUUAUGUCUCUUUUAUGUGUUAGCUUUUGUCUUGCUUUAUGCAAUUAAUGAAGCUGGUAGCUAGUUUUGGAAUCUUUUCUCACUUGUUUUGACACGGACUUGAAUCAAAGACAAGAAAAGAAAACAGAAUGGCAAUUUUUAUUUGGAUAACUGACUCAAAGAUAAACAAAAAUAAAGAGAAGAAAGAAAAGACGAUGAAUGUCCCCGUUUGAAACAAAGAAACAAAAAAUUAUCUAAAAAUGAUAGUCAACUCUAGUGAUUAUGCCAUGCAUUUGGAUUAAGCUGCCUUAUCUUUUCAUCCAAACAUUUUACCAAUUGUUGUUGAGUUAAGGGCCCUGAAACUGAGUUACUUUGUUGGGCCAAUUGCAUUCGGAGACCUCAUUCGGCUAGUGGCACCUUGAAGGAUAUUUUUGACAACAAGCCUCUCUUAUUUUCUUUCUCUCAGCUCACCAUUUUUCUAUGGAGUCCGUGAGGGUUUUCAAUAAUGAGACUGUCUUUUCACUACUCUAAGCUCACCAGUCGUCUUACGGUGCCCGUGAGGAUUUUCACCGAUAAGACUCUCUCAUUUUUAUUUCUCUCAAAUUACUAUCGUCUUACCGUGCCCGUGAGGUUUUUCACCAAUAAGACUCUCAUUUUUAUUUCUCUCAACUUACUAUAGUCUUACGGUGCCCUUGAGGGUUUUCACCAAUAAGACUCUCUCAUUUUUAUUUCUCUCAUGAUUCUUUAUGCUGAGGAAGACAAGUAGUUCCCAAAUGCAUCAUAUCUCUUGCAUGCUUCGCCUUAACAUCCUCAAAGAUUGAUCUGAAGGUCUUUCUUUGAUUGUAACUUGACUUUUGGAUAGGGUUAGAAAGAAAGAAUGGCAUGGGGCCCAAACGACACUUGAAGUGGGGUAAGACUUACAACUUUUGGAAUCAACUCAAACAAUGAGGAUUAACUCAUGCCCCAGUUUCUUUUGACUGGGUGACUCUAAAUUGUUUAUUUAGUUGGAUCGAGCCUGGAGUAAGGAAGCCUACGUAUCUCACCCCCGAGAGAGGAGAAUCAGGUCAUGUGUAGUUCUGGCGGCUUGGUCUUUCACUUGAUUCUAUUUUUUUUUCGAUGCUUUUUCUCUUUGGGACUUUUCUGACUUUAUUUUUCUUGACACUCAUCUUUUCUUUCUUUUUCAACACAUUUUUUGAAUUUUGUUGACUCUAUCUUGAUUCCAAAAGAGGGGUAUGAAAGAAAAUAACACUAAGGCCCAAAUGGGGUAAACAAAGAUGACACAAUGUUUGGAUAGCAGAAUGAAAUGCCUUCGUCAUAUCAAUUCUUGAAAAUGCUAGUACACAGCAUGGAAUGCGAAAGUGCACGAUCAAGAUCACUUAUAAAAUGUUUUACAACACUAACUUGCCCCGAGCAUGUGUGCCAUUUCUUUUUCUACACUUGUCCAGCAUACAACUCCACUUUGUUGUACAUUCCUCAUGCUUUCGUGGAGCUAAUUAUUCUAUUCCUUUUGAUGUAGGAUCACACAUCCACUAUUUGACCUAAUUGAGACAUGUCUUUCAAAUGCUGACCAAGUUAUUCUCAUGAUUCUCAAAAUAAUUGUCUUAAUUUUCAAAGAAGGCUUCAACUUGAUCACCAAAUGCCCCAGCACUCUAUCUAUUUUCUCAUAUGCUCUCUUUUCCUAACUUUAACUCUCUGAUUCAAUGCUUCAUGAUUAAGUUGCAUUUUAAGAUCUGACUGAAAAUUCCGCAGGCAUGUUAUAUCACUAGAAUCAACAUAAAAUGUACUGUAUAAAGAAAACAAACAAACAACACAUAUUUGAAACAAAAGAUAAAAAGGUUUGAACAUAAACGACAAAGGGACAAAACAAGAUAGAUCCUGAACUACAACUCUGAAAUAAUUCGAAAAAAUAGAAAAGAAAACAAAACAAACUACCAGACCUCUUCCUAGUAGGGAGACAAUGACUUCUCAAUUGCUCAGCCUGACAUAUUAGCCACUGGUUUCCAUAUCAGCAUGACUAGAGCUUUCACCACUGUCACACACAUUUCCUUCAACAAAUAAGUUCUGGAUCCCCAUGCUUAACUCAUUGCCUCCUACAUAUUAUGCAGUACCGCAUGCUGGUGAAAAACUUUGUAGGAUGGUCGAAGGGCCAAUGUUUUGCACCACAAUCAAUUUAUCUUGAAUUAUCUUUUCUAUUUUUCUUUUCAAAGUACGACAAUCGUCAGUAAUAUGACUUUGAACAUCCGAAUGAUAUGCACAUCGUAUAUUAGGAUCAAAAUUUCUUGAAUAUAGGUCAGGUGUAUACCCAAGGAGAGGAGUAAUCAUGCCCCUCUGUCUCAAUCUCUGGAAUAAACUAGCAUAGAACUCCCCAAUAGGAGUAAAAUUAUCUUUUUCCUUCCUCUUUUUUGCGAACUCUGGCCUCGGAUGAAACUUGGAUUUAGAGGUUCCUUGGUAAAUUCGUGGGGGUCGAGGACGAUGUUGAGGGACAGGUGCAUGCCAUUGUGGAUAAGAAGACGGAAACUGACUUUACAAUUUUGGUGGAAGACUUAAGGUAUUUGCAGGGUCAAAAGUGGGGAAUAGAGGUGGAGGCAUCCUACUGGCCCAAGCUCGAUACAUUUCCAUCACUUGUUGUCUCAGUCUCAAAUUCUCUUUCUUUAAACUCUCAAUUUCCUGAUUCUUUGUUUCAUAGAUGAUGCCACUUUCUAUAUCCUUGUUGGACACAACUAAACCCUCCUUGAAUUUGGUGUGAUAUGGAGGACCAGUCAGGAAGCCACAAACCAACCACCUUAAACUAACUGAACAAGAGGCAACAAAUAUAUUAGAGUUUAAUAUUUUUCAAGACCUCUCUCCUUUUUUUUCCUUGAAAAGAUCACCGAACCCAAGAAGGGAGCCUACGUAUCUCACACCCGAGAGAGAAUACUCAGGUGUGCGUAGUUCAUGAAGUCGUUCCAAAACGGCCAAUUGAACUCUUUAUUUUUUUCUUUUUGAAACUCUAAGAAGAAAAGAAAAUAGCAAAUUGUCAAAAGAAUCGACGAAAAUCUUUUUUGGCAUUUUUUAGGCUUAACAUCCCUAUACAAAAUGAAACCUAUGAUUACCUAAGAAAAAUCUUUAGGGGUUUUUUAUUUUGAAUUUCAUAGGAAAAUGAAACUUGAAACUAUUAAAGAAAAAUCUUUUUGUAGUUUUCUUCUAGAGAUGUAUAUGAAACACCUGCUCUAAGUGAAGAGUGAAGAAAAUCUUUUUGAAUUUUUUAGAUUUCUGUACAAAAUGAUAUCUAUGAUUACCGAAAAAAUAUUUUUGGAUUUUUGAUUUUGAAUUUCAUAUGAAAAUGAAAUUUGAACCUAUUAAAGGAAAAUAUUUUUUUUUAUUGUUUUCUUUUAAAGAUGUACAUGAAACACCUACUCUACGUGAAGAGUGAAGAAAAUAUUUUUUUUUGGAUUUUUGAAAUGAGAUUCCCGAACCCAAAAUAGGUUGCCUAUGUAUCUCACUCCCGAAAAAGGAGAAUAAAGGGUGCGUAGUUCAUCCAGAUUGGACAAUUAAGGAUUAAAACAAACUAAGACUUGACUUGAGAGACGCGAUUACAGACGGACGAUGAAAAUAAAAUCUUUUUUUGGGUUUUCAAUUAGACACAUCAUACAAAACUGACACCAACAACUAUGAAAGAAAAAUCUUUUUAAAAUUUUCAUUAUAUAAAAUGUACAAAACUUCUAUUUUUUUUUUUUAUAAAAAUCUCCAAUUAAAAAUAAUAUUUUUGAAAUUUUCAAAAUAUGAAUGCAUUGUAAAGGAACAAAUGGAAAUUUUUUUUGAUGUUUUUGAAAAAAUGAGUGCAAAAGGGUAAAAAAAAAAUCCUUUUGAAUUUUUGGAUUGUGAAAAACAAAAGUCAUAAAGAACUCUAAAAACUCCGAAACUCUUUUUUUUCUUUUCAACUCACUUUUUCUUUCAUUUUCCUGUUCUUUUUUUUUUUUUUCAAUUUUUCCUUGCCUAUACACUUUCUUUAAUUCUAGCACAUGCUUUCCCCCAAAUCAAUCCGUCAAAUGACCAUAUUACCCUUAAAGAUGCAACAUUUAGCACAUAAAGAUGCUUUAGAGGUGAGUCUCCUACAAAGGGUCAUGUAGGUCCCGCUAGAUCUUAAUAUGAUGCAAAUAAACAUGACCUAAAGGCUGAUCUACGCUGGAGUUCACUAAGAAGGCUAUUCGGGGGAACGUAUGGUUGAUAGUGGCUGCUUUAGCUUUCCACCCACUCCAUACCAGCCGACGGCUCCUCCUCGUAAGAUAAGGGUGACUCAAACAGAGGUCGUGUACACAACGUGUACUAUGGACUUGUUGCAGAAAGAAUGACUCAGGUUAUGCACAUGAUGCCAGAUAUAAAGCGGUAACACAUAGAUAGAAACUGUAAACAAAAAGCACGCAGGCACUCAACAAUGAAAAAAAACAAUAACACAAAACAACACAAACAACGUCUGUACACCCAUAAUGCCAAACUAAGCUGAUAAAACUCCAAAAAAUAAGCUCGAAUUUUGAAAUGGUCCCCAAUGGAGUUGCCAGAGCUGUCACAUCCCUUUUUCGACUCCAAAAAGAUAAUUCUAAGUUUGAAAGGGUUUUUAUUAUUAAAGUGACAAAAGAUUGAAAGUUUGUUUCGAAAAAAGGAUUAUUUUUACAUUCAAAAUCAGAGUCGCCACUUGGCAUAAUCCGGUGUGCCAAGUCACCAUUGGAAAAUCCUUUUCAAAACCAUUUGACACUUGAAACUGGUUUGCGAACAGAGAUUCUGGCUAAGGAAUUCUGUUGACCGAGGAGAAGGUGUUAGGCACCCCUCGAUCCCGUGGUUCGACCACGAUCGCUUGGUAGAGCGUAUCGGCUAAUUUUGACAUUAAGGAUGUAUAAACCACAUAAAUACAUAACAUUCAAACACACAAACAAAUCACCCAAAAUUUAAAACCAAAAUGAUGUGCAGUCCAAAUUAUACAGUCCAAAAAUAAAAACAUACGGAAAGGUAAAACCUAUUCUAUUCUAAACUAGUCCUAAACUAAACUCCAACCCGCCACCUCGGGCCUUCGUCACGAAUGUCCUCCGGGUACAAAAUACUUCGGGGCAUUCCCCGGCGAAUAAACACAAAUACCUAGGGGCAUUCCCCCGCCAAAUGAAUACACUUUAGUGCGAAAAAAUUAAACUAUUCAACAAAAUCUCAAAUAUUCAACCAAACAAUGAGUCUUAAACUUUGCUUACCCAACCUACAUUUCCUAUCCAUAUCAUAAGUCUAUCAUGUUUCAUAUCAAUAAUAAAUCGUAAUUAAUCUGAAUUUACCCUUUUAAUUGAUUCCUCAACCCCGCCCGUCAUUUUUUAUGUAUGAAUUUCAAUUAUGAAAGUAAUUAUCCACCCCCAAUAUCAACAUCGAUUUCAUGCCAAUGACUAACUAUUCAGCUAUGCAGCAUCGGAACAUCAACCAAGUUUAUCCAAUCCACAAGCAUCAACAUAUAAGCACAACAUCAUCAAACAAAUAAAAUAAAACUAUCGGAUCGACAUCCGCAAUAGCAUAAAAUAUAAAGUUAAGAAAUGGACCUCAGUGACUCUGACUUUCGAUGAUAGUUAAAGGAACAGUGUCUGUUCCAAAACUCUCGAACCGAACACCUCGAAUGACGAACAGAUCCAACUCGGUAUGGAAAAACGACCUCCGAUCAGAUUUCCAACUAAAAAAAAUAGCAAUAUGACACCCAAAUCGAAUAUUGACUCGACUUGGUCUCGGAAAUUCCCGAUGAACCUGAUAUCGAUAACAAACCCCGCAAUGGAUGAUUCCAAAAGUUUGAUAAAAUCUAGCAGAAAACCAAACACCAGCACGAUUCAAACUCCGGUGAGUCGCCGGUGAUGACAAUGACCAGAACAGCUAGUCGCCGGCCGGAUUUCAUCCGGAAUCGAAGGAAAACAAAAGAAGUUUGGCCGUUUUUAGACCCUCUUUGCCGGUGAGAUUCAGGCGAGGACUCGCCAGUCUCCGAUCUCCCUCUCAAUCUACUCCCUAAUCUCUACCCAUUUCAGUGUUUUUCUUCGUCUUCAGUCCGCUUCACCCUCCUCUUUUCUACUCAUUCCGUUUGUGCAUCCAGUGACGUGCAUGAGAUGGUGUUGAUGAUGAAGUGGGUGUGUGGUGUGAGUAUGAAAAAUGGGAGGAGUAUUGUUGCAGUCUCCUCCUCCCAGUGAAUGAAAAAUUCUCUAUACCUAUUGUUGCCUGUGAAUUUUGUGUGUUGUAUUCAAUGGAAAAAAUGGAGAGGGUCAGUGAUUCUCCUGGAAUCAGCCGUGGAGAAGAAAACCAAUUCCCCUCCCCAAUGUGCUGAUAUGAAUUGAAAAAUCCCCUCAAUCUUCUCCGUGGGCCCCCUCCUCUUUUUGUUGCUCUCUCUGUAUAUAUGCCUAUGGAAUUAUGCGGUUGUGGGGUAGGGUAGGUGGGGUAAAUGUAGGGUAGCGGUAGGGUGUGAUGUGGUUUAUUUUGAUUGGAUAGGUUGUUAGGAUAAGAUAAAAUUAAUUAGGGGAUUGUUAUUUUUGUCAUUUUAUGGAGGGAUUAUCACACGGAUUGGAGGUACAUGGUAGGAUAAAGUAAAAAUGAGUAAAAAUAAUAUCGGGG